rnacentral:rRNA from 1 species
UACGAGGGGUGCAAACGUUAUUCGGAUUUAUUGGGCGUAAAGGGUGUGUAGGCGGCAUGUUGUGUCUACCGUUAAAUACUCCAGCUUACCUGGAGAAGUGCGGUGGAAACUAAUGUGCUAGAGGAUGGAAGAGAGAAGUGGAAUUCCCGGAGUAGCGGUAAAAUGCGUAGAUCUCGGGAGGAACACCAAUGGCGAAGGCAGCUUCUUGGUCCAUUCCUGACGCUGAGACACGAAAGCGUGGGGAGCAAACAGG